CAGAGGUCAACAAUCAGCCUUCAGAUGGUUCAAAUUAGUCAACAUAGAUCAGAGCUGAACCCAUGCCCUAGAAGUGAACAUAAUUUCUCCUGUGAGAAAUCACCUGGCAGCAGACUACAAGGUGAAGAAGAACAUGUUUGCUUCCCCUUCUGCCAUGAUUGUGUUUUCUGAGGCCUUCCCAGCCAAGCAGGAGUGAAGAAGGAGAAUCUACACAUUGGUGCUUCUUAAUUGUUGCCAAAGGAAACCUGACAAAAACCCAUGGAUUCAAUGGGAGUAUUAAUAAGCCAAUCAACAGAUGGCUAAUUGUACC